UACGUAGGGGGGCAAGCGUUUGUCCGGAAUCAUUGGGCGUAAAGCGCGCGUAGGCGGCCCGGUAAGUCCGCUGUAAAAGUCCAGGGCUCAACCCUGGAAAGCCGGUGGAUACUGUCGGGCUAGAGUCCGGAAGAGGCGAGUGGAAUUCCUGGUGUAGCGGUGGAAUGCGCAGAUAUCAGGAGGAACACCGAUGGCGAAGGCAGCUCGCUGGGACGGUACUGACGCUGAGGCGCGAAA
rnacentral:rRNA from 1 species